rnacentral:lncRNA from 1 species
CCCGCCGCUCACACGGGCUGCGGCCGAGUUCAAUUCAGAACUGCGGCGAGUCCGGCUUCCCCGGGAGCCGGGGCCGCCCGGGCGCCGGGGGCCGAGUUCCGAGGGACUUUGCAAAAGAGGCGCUCGCCUCCCUCCCUGCGCGCCUCCUCCGGGAGCACGGGGAUGCUUGCACCUGCGCCGCCGGGGACCGCCUGGCCAGAGCCGCUGCUCCGCCCCCGGGGACGGGGGGACCUGCGCCCAGGAGCGCUUGGAAAUUGUUGUCAAUCCUAAGAGCGUGUGCCUGGUCACCAAUGGGCUGAUGGUGUUGAGGGCCUCCCAGUGUCCAUGCAACUUCUCUCCCUUGCUCAAUAUCCACUUUGCACAGGAACAUUGACAUUUUUCAUUUGAAAAUGUUUCUAUAUAAAGUGUAAGAUGCUUUCAGAUGUGGAAAAUGCACAGUGCUGACAUUCUAACUGAAAGCAAUAUUCCCUUCCCUGCCACAUAUUUGCUCGUAAUGCAAUGGAUCAGGAAAGCUAUAGUGAAAUUAUAAAUUGCACAUGGAAGAUAAAAUGUUGACUCUCACGAGAAAUACAAAAAUGGAAGAACAGUAUUACCCUAAGGUUUCUCAGCAAGUUUGCCAUGUUUAUAUUCAGUACUUACACAAAACAUGAAAACCGUCUCAACGUGCAUAUAUAGGCAUGCAUCAUGCCACACAAGCAAAGAUCUGAUCAUAUUAACACACUUAUGAUGUAACCUAAUGUAUGUGACACAUUUCCUAAUUACACUGCCUAUAAAGAAUGGUUUAAAAGUUUAUGUAAUUUUUUCCCUUAUUUUUCUUUAAGUGCUCAAAGCUAGAUAGGAGUCCUUGACCUGUGAUAAUAUGUGAUUAUUACUUAUGAAUUUUCUAAUUCACUGUGAUCAUUGAAAAUUUCUUUUUGUUUCAAAACGUAAAACUAGGGAGAACAAGGGAAAUUUUUAGUUUUUUUAA